AUACGUAGGGUGCGAGCGUUGUCCGGAAUUACUGGGCGUAAAGAGCUCGUAGGUGGUUUGUCGCGUCGUCUGUGAAAUUCCGGGGCUUAACUCCGGGCGUGCAGGCGAUACGGGCAUAACUUGAGUACUGUAGGGGAGACUGGAAUUCCUGGUGUAGCGGUGAAAUGCGCAGAUAUCAGGAGGAACACCGGUGGCGAAGGCGGGUCUCUGGGCAGCAACUGACGCUGAGGAGCGAAAGCAUGGGUAGCGAACAGGAUUAGAUACCCUGGUAGUCCAUGCCGUAAACGUUGGGCGCUAGGUGUAGGGGUCUUCCACGACUUCUGUGCCGUAGCUAACGCAUUAAGCGCCCCGCCUGGGGAGUACGGCCGCAAGGCUAAAACUCAAAGGAAUUGACGGGG
rnacentral:rRNA from 1 species